rnacentral:rRNA from 1 species
AGUGGACGCUGGCGGUAGGCCUAACACAUGCAAGUCGAACGGCAGCACAGUAAGAGCUUGCUCUUACGGGUGGCGAGUGGCGGACGGGUGAGAAAUACAUCGGAAUCUACUUUUUCGUGGGGGAUAACGUAGGGAAACUUACGCUAAUACCGCAUACGACCUACGGGUGAAAGCAGGGGAUCUUCGGACCUUGCGCGAUUGAAUGAGCCGAUGUCGGAUUAGCUAGUUGGCGGGGUAAAGGCCCACCAAGGCGACGAUCCGUAGCUGGUCUGAGAGGAUGAUCAGUCACACUGGAACUGAGACACGGUCCAGACUCCUACGGGAGGCAGCAGUGGGGAAUAUUGGACAAUGGGCGCAAGCCUGAUCCAGCCAUACCGCGUGGGUGAAGAAGGCCUUCGGGUUGUAAAGCCCUUUUGUUGGGAAAGAAAAGCAGCAGGUUAAUACCCCGCUGUUCUGACGGUACCCAAAGAAUAAGCACCGGCUAACUUCGUG